CCUUUUAAAAGCACUCAAGGGGCCUUUUGCUAAUGGCCCAUUGAGCCAUCAAGAAAGUCACUCUUGGGUGAAGUGGCAGCAUGUUGUUUUGCUUCAAUAGAUGUGGCAAGG
rnacentral:snoRNA from 1 species